rnacentral:rRNA from 1 species
UACGAAGGGGGCUAGCGUUGCUCGGAAUCACUGGGCGUAAAGGGUGCGUAGGCGGGUUUUUAAGUCAGGGGUGAAUCCUGGAGCUCAACUCCAGAACUGCCUUUGAUACUGAAGAUCUUGAGUCCGGGAGAGGUGAGUGGAACUGCGAGUGUAGAGGUGAAAUUCGUAGAUAUUCGCAAGAACACCAGUGGCGAAGGCGGCUCACUGGCCCGGUACUGACGCUGAGGCACGAAAGCGUGGGAGCAAACAGGG